ensembl:misc_RNA Metazoa_SRP Metazoan signal recognition particle RNA
GCCGGGCAUGGUGGCGGGUGCCUGUAGUCCCAGCUACUCGGGAGGCUGAGGCAGGAGAAUCACUUGAACCCAGGAGGCGGGGGUUGCAGUGACCCGAGAUCACGCCAUUGCACUCCAGCCUGGGUGACAGAGUGAGACUCCGUCUCAA